AUUGAACGCUGGCGGCAGGCUUAACACAUGCAAGUCGAGCGAGCGGCGGACGGGUGAGUAAUGUCUGGGAAACUGCCUGAUGGAGGGGGAUAACUACUGGAAACGGUAGCUAAUACCGCAUACUAUCAGAUGUGCCCAGAGGGGAUUAGCUAGUAGGUGGGGUAAUGGCUCACCUAGGCGACGAUCCCUAGCUGGGUUGAGAGGAAGACGAGCCACACUGGAACUGAGACACGGUCCAGAUUCCUCGUGGAGGCAUCAGUGGGAAAAAUUGCACAAUGGGCGCAAGCCGGAUGCAGCCCUGCCGCGUGUGUGAAGAAGGCCUGCGGGUUGUAAAGCACUUUCAGCGAGGAGGCGUUACUCGCAGAAGAAGCACCGGCUAACUACGUGCCAGCAGCCGCGGUAAUUC
rnacentral:rRNA from 1 species